rnacentral:rRNA from 1 species
UGGGGAAUUUUGGACAAUGGGCGAAAGCCUGAUCCAGCAAUGCCGCGUGUGUGAAGAAGGCCUUCGGGUUGUAAAGCACUUUUGUCCGGAAAGAAAUCCUUGGCUCUAAUACAGUCGGGGGAUGACGGUACCGGAAGAAUAAGCACCGGCUAACUACGUGCCAGCAGCCGCGGUAAUACGUAGGGUGCAAGCGUUAAUCGGAAUUACUGGGCGUAAAGCGUGCGCAGGCGGUUUGCUAAGACCGAUGUGAAAUCCCCGGGCUCAACCUGGGAACUGCAUUGGUGACUGGCAGGCUAGAGUAUGGCAGAGGGGGGUAGAAUUCCACGUGUAGCAGUGAAAUGCGUAGAGAUGUGGAGGAAUACCGAUGGCGAAGGCAGCCCCCUGGGCCAAUACUGACGCUCAUGCACGAAAGCGUGGGGAGCAAAACAGGAUUAGAUACCCUGGUAGUCCACGCCCUAAACGAUGUCAACUAGUUGUUGGGGAUUCAUUUCCUUAGUAACGUAGCUAACGCGUGAAGUUGACCGCCUGGGGAGUACGGUCGCAAGAUUAAAACUCAAAUUG